GAUGUUCUGUUAAAGGAGUACAAAAGGGUUCACAUUACUGGCACUGGUAAACGAGGCGAUCAUGGAGAUCUUGUCCUCUGUUCGGCAUGUUGUGACGGCAUUGGAUGUAACAAAGAUCAAUGUAGAAACCUUAUCAAAAUUCAACCAUGCUUCAACUCUGCGAUUUGUGGAUGACUAUAGCAAUAACAAUUGUUAUCAUUUAACAUGUUUAAGAUAGAAAAUAAAUAUACAACUUACAGGACAA